GUGCUUGCUUCAGCAGCACAUACACUAAAACUGGAACAGUACAGAGAUUAGCAUGGCCCCCGUGCAAAUUCGGGAAAUGUUCAAUAAAAGAAAAAGUUGAACCUUUU